rnacentral:rRNA from 1 species
AGAGUUUGAUCCUGGCUCAGGAUGAACGCUGGCGGCGUGCUUAACACAUGCAAGUCGAACGAUUAACCCAAACUUCGGUUUGGUUAUAAAGUGGCGAACGGGUGAGUAACACGUGACCAACCUGCCUUCUAGAUCGGGAUAACUCAAGGAAACUUGUGCUAAUACCGGAUACUCCGGAGCAAUCGCAUGGUAGCUCCGGGAAAGCUUUUGCGCUAGAAGAUGGGGUCGCGGCCUAUUAGGUAGUUGGUGGGGUAGAGGCCUACCAAGCCUGCGAUAGGUAGCCGGGUUGAGAGACUGAUCGGCCACAUUGGGACUGAGAUACGGCCCAGACUCCUACGGGAGGCAGCAGUGGGGAAUUUUGCGCAAUGGGGGCAACCCUGACGCAGCAACGCCGCGUGCGGGAUGAAGGUCUUCGGAUUGUAAACCGCUUUCAGUAGGGAAUAAGUAUGAAGGUACCUACAGAAGAAGCACCGGCUAAAUACGUGCCAGCAGCCGCGGUAAUACGUAUGGUGCAAGCGUUAUCCGGAAUCAUUGGGCGUAAAGCGCGCGUAGGCGGCUUGUUAAGCAGGAAUUUAAAUCUUAGGGCUCAACCUUAAGUCGGUUCCUGAACUGGCAGGCUCGAGUGCGGUAGAGGAAGGUGGAAUUCCCAGUGUAGCGGUGAAAUGCGCAGAUAUUGGGAAGAACACCGAUGGCGAAGGCAGCCUUCUGGGCCGCCACUGACGCUGAGGCGCGAAAGCUAGGGGAGCGAACAGGAUUAGAUACCCUGGUAGUCCUAGCCGUAAACGAUGGGCACUAGGUGUGGGGAGGAAUUCUCUCCGUGCCGCAGCUAACGCAUUAAGUGCCCCGCCUGGGGAGUACGGCCGCAAGGCUAAAACUCAAAG